GAGUUUGAUCUUGGCUCAGAUUGAACGCUGGCGGCAGGCCUAACACAUGCAAGUCGAGCGGUAGAGAGAAGCUUGCUUCUCUUGAGAGCGGCGGACGGGUGAGUAAUGCCUAGGAAUCUGCCUGGUAGUGGGGGAUAACGCUCGGAAACGGACGCUAAUACCGCAUACGUCCUACGGGAGAAAGCAGGGGACCUUCGGGCCUUGCGCUAUCAGAUGAGCCUAGGUCGGAUUAGCUAGUUGGUGAGGUAAUGGCUCACCAAGGCGACGAUCCGUAACUGGUCUGAGAGGAUGAUCAGUCACACUGGAACUGAGACACGGUCCAGACUCCUACGGGAGGCAGCAGUGGGGAAUAUUGGACAAUGGGCGAAAGCCUGAUCCAGCCAUGCCGCGUGUGUGAAGAAGGUCUUCGGAUUGUAAAGCACUUAAGUUGGAGAAGGCAGUAAAUUAAUACUUUGCUGUUUUGACGUUA
rnacentral:rRNA from 1 species